UGAUCCACGUCCCUCGAAACGAACCGCUAAAACCCUAGAAUGCAUAAAUUUCCGCCCCUUCAUAUCCGACUCCGGCAACUACGCUCCGUCUCUCUCUCUCUCUCUCUCGGUGUCUCUCUCUUCAACUCGUCGAUUUCGAAAAUUCGAACAUAUACCUUUCAUCUCCAUCCGCCAUGCCGAAGAGGGUUCUCUGCAAGUUCUUUGCACACGGGGCAUGUCUAAAAGGGGAACACUGUGAAUUUUCACAUGAUUGGAAAGAUCAGGCAAACAAUAUAUGUACCUUUUAUCAGAAAGGAGUGUGCUCUUAUGGCAGCCGUUGUAGGUAUGACCAUGUGAAAGCUUCUCGUCCACAGGCUUCUGUCUCAUCAUCAUCGAAUUCUCAUCUGCAUCUGGUUUCAGAUCGUGAUCAAGUCACACGUCCAUUUCAAAUUGCUUUGAAUGGGGAAACUGCACCAGCCUUGAGCAAUCCUACAGAGCUUUCAGCUUUGAGUAAACCAUUUUUCCCUCCAGGUAGACCAUCAUGGGGUCAAGAUUCUGAAGAUAAUACCAUAUCAGAAAAUGAGAAUGCUGACAAUUCUGAAUUUGUUGGAACCUCUGACCGACCUAUUUGUGCAUUUGCUGCUGCUGGUAAGUGUCCUCAUGGUGAAAGAUGUCCCCAUAUUCAUGGAGAUUUAUGUUCCACCUGUGGAAAGCACUGCCUGCAUCCAUACAGGCCUGAUGAAAGAGACGAACAUACAAGACAGUGUCAGAUAAAUAAAAAACGCCUUGAAGCAUUGAGGCAUAGUCAAGAGAUAGAAUGCAGUGUAUGCCUGGAUCGAGUGCUUUCGAAAGCUACUCCUGCAGAAAGGAAGUUUGGUUUGCUAUCUGAAUGCGAUCAUCCAUUCUGUAUAUCAUGUAUUCGGAAUUGGCGAAGCAAUUCUCCGACCUCUGGCAUGGAUGUCAACACUGCAUUGAGGGCCUGUCCGAUAUGUCGCAAACUCUCAUACUUUGUCAUUCCGAGUGUUAUUUGGUAUUCCACAAAGGAAGAAAAGCAAGAGAUAAUCGAUAACUAUAAAGCCAAACUGAGUUCUAUUGAUUGCAGGUACUUUGACUUCGGAAAUGGGACGUGUCCCUUUGGAACUAGUUGUUUCUACAAGCAUGCAUACCGUGAUGGCCGGUUAGAAGAAGUGGUACUACGCCAUCUUGGCGCUGAAGAUGGAAACACUGUGAUAGCUAAAGAUAUCAGGCUCUCAGACUUCCUUAGUAGGUUGCAUCUAUAAUGGGUGAGCUGAGCUUGUUAAAAAGCUUAAAUGCAGGAUAGCCCUGUGCAAAAAAUGCUGGAUGGCUUAGAAGAUGGUUUAACCUUAGAUGUCUCACACACUAUUCCUGAUUGGCACGCGUGUCAGCAUGUAAAAGCAUGUGUGGAAGGACCUAUACAUACUGCAAUCCAGGAAAUAUCUGCCAUCUCAAGUGCCGAAAGUAUGCUCUAUUGCCCUUGGUGCUCCACUUGCGUAUAAAGAAUUGCUUGCUGGGGACCAAAAACAAAAAGAGCCAAAGGUGGGCCUAUAUGACCACAUGAAUAAUGCUCUGCUUUGAUUAUUACAUUUGCAAUAAAAAAAGGAAGGUGACAUUUGAAGAAAGAAGGGUGAGUGUGUUGAGACCCUUCAUCAUCACAUUUCUUUUCUAGUGAAGCCCCCUUGCAUUUCUCAUUCUGCAUAUGAAGAGAAAUGCCAUUCGGAAUAAUUACAAUCAUUGUGCAGUUUCAUGCCAUCAUCAACUGUAUAUUGAAUUUUUUCCCCCCUUUUUGUUGUUGUUGUUAUUUUGAUGAAUGUUUGCGUGAAAUGAUGGUGAAAACCAUUAUUUAUAUAUGGUCCAAAAGAAAAUAUUAUUGGAUACAUCCCUCCCCUUGUACUCAUGCUAGUCAAGGUUUUCAUGGAAAAUGUAUUCCCUUUGUUCA